AGCGGCGGACGGGUUAGUAACGCGUGGGAACGUACCCUUUUCUACGGAAUAGCCUCGGGAAACUGAGAGUAAUACCGUAUACGCCCUUAGGGGGAAAGAUUUAUCGGAGAAGGAUCGGCCCGCGUUAGAUUAGAUAGUUGGUGGGGUAAUGGCCUACCAAGUCUACGAUCUAUAGCUGGUUUGAGAGGAUGAUCAGCAACACUGGGACUGAGACACGGCCCAGACUCCUACGGGAGGCAGCAGUGGGGAAUCUUAGACAAUGGGCGCAAGCCUGAUCUAGCCAUGCCGCGUGAGUGAUGAAGGCCUUAGGGUCGUAAAGCUCUUUCGCCUGUGAAGAUAAUGACUGUAGCAGGUAAAGAAACCCCGGCUAACUCCGUGCCAGCAGCCGCGGUAAUACGGAGGGGGUUAGCGUUGUUCGGAAUUACUGGGCGUAAAGCGCGCGUAGGCGGACAUUUAAGUCAGAGGUGAAAUCCCAGGGCUCAACCCUGGAACUGCCUUUGAUACUGGGUGUCUUGAGUUCGAGAGAGGUGAGUGGAAUUCCGAGUGUAGAGGUGAAAUUCGUAGAUAUUCGGAGGAACACCAGUGGCGAAGGCGGCUCACUGGCUCGAUACUGACGCUGAGGUGCGAAAGUGUGGGGAGCAAACAGGAUUAGAUACCCUGGUAGUCCACACCGUAAACGAUGAAUGCCAGUCGUCGGGCAGUAUACUGUUCGGUGACACACCUAACGGAUUAAGCAUUCCGCCUGGGGAGUACGGUCGCAAGAUUAAAAA
rnacentral:rRNA from 1 species